AGGACAGCCCUUGAAACUGUUGAUCAUCUGUCAACAACACUGGACUUCACAGAGUUUGCUUCAAGAAUAAUUCACCCCUUAGUUAGGACAUUGGACUCGACACCUGAUCUGCGUGAAGAUGCUAUGAACACACUUUGUGCUGUGGUGAUCCAGUUGGGAAAGAAAUAUCAAAUUUUCAUCCCAAUGGUUCAUAAGGUUUU